GAUGAACGCUGGCGGCGUGCCUAAUACAUGCAAGUCGAGCGAAAAGACGAGGAGCUUGCUCCUCUGACGUUAGCGGCGGACGGGUGAGUAACACGUGGAUAACCUACCUAUAAGACUGGGAUAACUUCGGGAAACCGGAGCUAAUACCGGAUCAUAUAUUGAACCGCAUGGAUCAAUAGUGAAAGACGGUUUUGCUGUCUCUUAUAGAUGGAUCCGCGCCGCAUUAGCUAGUUGGUAAGGUAACGGCUUACCAAGGCAACGAUGCGUAGCCGACCUGAGAGGGUGAUCGGCCACACUGGAACUGAGACACGGUCCAGACUCCUACGGGAGGCAGCAGUAGGGAAUCUUCCGCAAUGGGCGAAAGCCUGACGGAGCAACGCCGCGUGAGUGAUGAAGGCCUUCGGAUCGUAAAACUCUGUUAUUAGGGAAGAACAAAUGUGUAAGUAACUAUGCACGUCUUGACGGUACCUAAUCAGAAAGCCACGGCUAACUACGUG
rnacentral:rRNA from 1 species